CAUUGAGAAGCUUUAUAUAGCAUUAGCCUUUUAAGUUGAAGAAGAAACACACUUUCCUCAGUGA
rnacentral:tRNA from 1 species